UGAGGAAUAUUGGUCAAUGGGCGAGAGCCUGAACCAGCCAAGUAGCGUGCAGGAUGACGGCCCUAUGGGUUGUAAACUGCUUUUAUAUGGGAAUAAAGUGAGUGACGUGUCCCUUAUUGCAUGUACCAUAUGAAUAAGGACCGGCUAAUUCCGUGCCAGCAGCCGCGGUAAUACGGAAGGUCCAGGCGUUAUCCGGAUUUAUUGGGUUUAAAGGGAGCGUAGGCUGUUUGUUAAGCGUGUUGUGAAAUGUAAGAGCUCAACUUUUAGAUUGCAGCGCGAACUGGCAGACUUGAGUGCGCACAACGUAGGCGGAAUUCAUGGUGUAGCGGUGAAAUGCUUAGAUAUCAUGACGAACUCCGAUUGCGAAGGCAGCUUACGGGAGCGCAACUGACGCUAAAGCUCGAAGGUGCGGGUAUCGAACAGG
rnacentral:rRNA from 1 species